AGAGUUUGAUCAUGGCUCAGAAUCAACGCUGGCGGCGUGCCUAACACAUGCAAGUCGAACGCGAAGACCCCGCAAGGGGUUUGUAGCGUGGCAAACGGGUGAGUAACGCGUGGGUGACCUGCCUUAGAGUGGGGGAUAACGUCUCGAAAGGGACGCUAAUACCGCAUGACAUCCUUUCUUUGAACAGAGGGAGAUCAAAGCCUGGGACCGCAAGGCCAGGCGCUCGAAGAGGGGCCCGCGUCCGAUUAGCUAGUUGGUGAGGUAACGGCUCACCAAGGCGACGAUCGGUAUCCGGCCUAAGAGGGCGGACGGACACACUGGGACUGAGACACGGCCCAGACUCCUACGGGAGGCAGCAGUGGGGAAUUGUUCGCAAUGGGCGCAAGCCUGACGACGCAACGCCGCGUGGAGGACGAAGAUCUUCGGGUCGUAAACUCCUGUCGAGCGGGACGAAUGGCCUGCGGGUAAAUAAUCCGCGGGAGUGACGGUACCGCUAAAGGAAGCCCCGGCUAACUCCGUGCCAGCAGCGGCGGUAAUUC
rnacentral:rRNA from 1 species